UGACGCAUUCUUCUUCCCGUUUCCUGCCCAGGACACUCCUGAACACCUGCACAAAGCGGCUAAUGUGAACCUGGUUCAUCACUUAAAGAAACUGGAGAAAGAGGGCAAGAUCAGCCUGGUGAAUGAAUCUUCAAAGAACAUCAAAUGGAAAAGUAACCUGUGAUAUCCUUGGGCGCCAUGAAGACACUAUUUUAAAUGUAAUAUUUGUAAUAUUCAGCUGAAUGACAUAUCCUAACUUUUCAAUCAAAAAUAACCUGAUCAAUGGCCUUAGAUACUCUGAUUGACAGAUGUGUUGCAGAUAGAUCAGGGAUGGAGGUCACACUCAAUGCCUUGGAUGUUUCCUGAGCAUACAGACCAUUAACACACACUCACCUGGACUGAGCUGCUGUGUCAAAUAACAUGUAUUAAGGUAUAUAUGUGUCUGUAAGUCAGGUGCAUUUGGCUGGUGGGAAAAUGGAAGAGUAGACACAGUUUGCACCGAAUAAUAUUGCUUCUUUUCCGUCUUCCUUGGUCGAAUUUCCCCCAAGUUUCGUCUCUCAGGAAGCACUUUUUGGUUGACUUUAAACACAUAUUAAAUAUGGUGUUCUCUCAGAGUGUCGAACUGUAAAAUAUGUCUUUUAAAAAUCGAUAUAUUUAAAACAGAAGCAGCACUUAGAUAUGUUAACUUUUCGUAUGCUUUUAAAAAGUUGUAUUAAAUCUGGUCUCUUUCUUGAAAAAUGAAGCACCUGUUCUACAAGUGAUGCUAUUCCUCAGUCAGUCACUAGGUGGCAGUAUCCGCUAAUACUUUUAUUGGGCAGAACUUUGAUUGUACACUCACUGUAACAUAAAACUUUACAAAUAUUUUGUAUAUGAUAAAGAAAGAUGUAGAAAUUGUGUGGUGGAGAGAUUGUUGGCUACUACAGUGAUGUGAUGUUGUAUUUUCUGACUGAUUAAUAAAAUCAACUGUGCAUUUGUAAUAGUAAUGAGAUCAUCAUUAGGGAUAUGUUUUUUUAAAUGAAUGAAUAAUACAUGUGAACAGCUGAAUGUGAUCUCAUAUCAUCGUCAUGAUGGUGACGCAGUGUUCCUCUGAUCAGAUAUUCUGCGUUGACCUGUGCUCGAACUCUCAUCUGUUCCCCUGUCCACAGCUCUGAAACAAUGUGAUGUUUGGGAACUUGUGAUAGAUACACAACGAGUUUUUACUGCCAGAUCACUCACUGUAGAUUGUCUACAUAAACCCAUCAACUUGACCACUCGUAAUAAAUGACCACAAUGCAUUAAUCCUGUAGAAUAAAACAUCUGGUAUUUUACAGUGGUUCUGUUGAUCAAUAAGAAGUAAACUUGUCAAACAAAGUGAACAGUAAGAAAAACUACUUGUGCUAUACGUCAGUAUUUCAAUUUGUAAUGCUACAUUAAAAUAUAUAAUGUGA